CGAUAUAAUAGUUAUCAUAUCAAUAUUUUCGCAUUAAGGAGUUCCCACCACUAUUUCUCGCAUAAUACAUUUACGACACAAAAAGAUUACACCUAGUACCCAAAUGUGGGACAACGGGAUGAUUUUGCAGGACAGUGUAUGAAUACAAUGUUUUUGGCAGGAUUGGCCAUUUUGGCCUACAUCUCGUCUUGCACUGCGCAGAAUAUCAGAUCUCAUCACGGAUUGGAGAAGUGUUUAACAUCAACCGGUACCACAUCCUAGUCAUAAACGCAAUGUGACUUCAAAAGAGACAGCUUAGAUGCUCUGGAGCCUGGUGUGGUUCUCGCCAAGGAGCGUUCGGACUCAGUCGGGACCAGGUUUCAGCUGCUGCGCAACGCUGACAUCCUUCCUCCCAUAGAUGGUCUGCCUGUACACGCACCAACUGGACUGGACAUAGCUUGACAAACGUAUCUUUUUGAGAAGAUAUGGGAGUUUUGCAACGAAUAGGACUUGGACAUCACAUGCCCUGAACCAAAGUGAAGGGCAGGACAGAAACAGGCUCUCCGAAAUGAUAUUCCCUUGUUCAUGCGUGGUUCGGACGUACCAGUCAUCAGCACUAUCUGCAGUGCCUCUAUUCAAAUGACUCUCUCCUAACACACACGUAAUACGUUGCUGCUACUAUUUUUUUAUCCUGCUGCUCAGCCACUUUACCCCUGAUUGUAUGCAUAUAACUACCUCGUAUGCAAGUAACCAUUUGGCUGUACUGUUGUAUUGACCCAUCCACUUAGCAUGACUUAGCAAAAUAUUGAUAUAUAAAAUUAAUAUUGAUUUGUGGUCGUAACAUGAUUUUGUGACAUACCACAACAAUAUAAUGUGACCAUAUCAAGUGUCCACCACAUAAAUAUAUGGCGCAUGCAUCUGUUUAUGUACUGUACAUGUGCACCUCACUCAGGUUUCAACUCAGGUUGCAUGGCCUUAACAUAUGUAUGGAAUACUAUGUGAUAAGUGCGUGUGUAACAGUAUAUCAAGUAUGCUAAUGUACUGGUGUGAAGGCAUUUUCUAUUAAAGUAUCAUUACAUUUA
rnacentral:lncRNA from 1 species